rnacentral:rRNA from 1 species
GAUCCUGGCUCAGGAUGAACGCUGGCGGCGUGCUUAACACAUUCAAGUCGAACGGAGAACGGGGAGCUUGCUCCCCGGGAUCAGUGGCGGACGGGUGAGUAACGCGUGAGCAACCUGCCUGUGUGUGGGGGAUAACACCCGGAAACGGGUGCUAAUACCGCAUAACGCAACGGAGCCGGAUGACUUUGUUGCCAAAGAUAUAUUGCGCACAGAUGGGCUCGCGUCUGAUUAGAUAGUUGGUG